rnacentral:rRNA from 1 species
CGCGUAGGUGGUAGUGCAAGUCUGAGGUGGAAUCUUAGGGCCUAACCCUAAAAUUGCCUUGGAAGCUGCAUUACUUGAGUCAGUGAGGGGAGGGUAGAAUUCCUGGUGUAGCGGUGAAAUGCGUAGAUAUCAGGAGGAAGGCCGGUGGCGAAGGCGGCCCUCUGGCGCUGAACUGACACUGAGGCGCGAAAGCGUGGGGAGCAAACAGGAUUAGAUACCCUGGUAGUCCACGCCCUAAACGGUGGGCACUAGGUGUAGGGCUCGUAAGGGUUCUGUGCCGAAGCGAAAGCAUUAAGUGCCCCGCCUGGGGAGUACGGCCGCAAGGUUGAA